rnacentral:lncRNA from 1 species
CCGAGCCGGGCACGGCGGCGGGCGGGGAGGAGCGGGUGAGCCCGCCCCGAGGGGUCCGGGGGACGCCGGGGGCCGGGCGGGCUGCGAGGGCGGGGGGCGGACGGGACGGGACCGUGUCUCUUCCCCGCACCGCCGGGCCGGCGACACGGAGGCUCCCGGCUCGCUGCCGCCCCGCCAUGGCUCCCAGCUCCGAGCGGCUCUUCGACUCCCUGGGACACUUCGGCAGGGUCUUGGGAUGUGCAUGAACAACCAUAAGAAGGUAACAGCUUCUGUUUCCUGUGCCUGUUAAAGGAAGAUUUUACACCUGUCUUUGAAUUUGGGCAUGUGGAGCAUCUGUGGCCCAUAAAUUCAGGAAGAAUGUUUUUAAACAUUGCUCUUGAGUCUGAAAUCACUGCUUGCUAUUGUAGAGGUGAAGGAAAAAAAGUCCUGUCUGCCUCAAAAGGCCUCACGUUUAAUGACUUGACAGGCCACUAAAAGCUCCCAACUUGCCUGCCUCAGACUGCAUCCUUCCUCUCUACAGCAGUUCCUGCCAGACCCUGCCCAUGGGCUCUUGCUUCCUGCGCCCCCUUUCUGCCCAACCACUCCAAUUGCAAUGACUCACUCAUAUGCGUAUCAGGUAAAGAGCAGGCAUGUGGUCAGCCACCUGCUGCCAUGGACAGCCAGCAUACUAGGAAAGGGGAAAAAUGACUGGCGGGCUUAAGGUCAGCAGCAGAGCUCACCUGUGUCCUGGCAGAUCUGUAUGCCAGCGGAGGCAGCGUGUGCUAUUUGGCCUGCACCAUGUGCACAUCUCCUGUACCUGCUGGCUUUUGGCUGCCCAGCCAGCAUGUGCAACUAUUCAGGUUGGGAAGCACACCUUAGGACCUGGCUGGCUGGCUCACACUGCCUUACAUCUAGUUCCCAGCUCACAGCUCUUGUUGCGAUCAGAUUACGUCUUCUGCAAAUCGUGGUGUGUACAUGAUACUUCCAGGAAUGCUUGGAUUUGUAUCAAAUGACAAAGAGUCCCAACUAUCUUAAA